AGUCGAGCGGAACGAUGGAAGCUUGCUUCCAGGCGUCGAGCGGCGGACGGGUGAGUAAUGCAUGGGAAUCUGCCCGAUAGUGGGGGAUAACCUGGGGAAACCCAGGCUAAUACCGCAUACGUCCUACGGGAGAAAGCAGGGGAUCUUCGGACCUUGCGCUAUCGGAUGAGCCCAUGUCGGAUUAGCUUGUUGGUGGGGUAAUGGCCUACCAAGGCGACGAUCCGUAGCUGGUCUGAGAGGAUGAUCAGCCACAUCGGGACUGAGACACGGCCCGAACUCCUACGGGAGGCAGCAGUGGGGAAUAUUGGACAAUGGGCGAAAGCCUGAUCCAGCCAUGCCGCGUGUGUGAAGAAGGCCUUCGGGUUGUAAAGCACUUUCAGUGAGGAAGAACGCCUCUGGCUUAAUACGUCAGAGGGAAGACAUCACUCACAGAAGAAGCACCGGCUAACUCCGUGCCAGCAGCCGCGGUAAUACGGAGGGUGCGAGCGUUAAUCGGAAUUACUGGGCGUAAAGCGCGCGUAGGUGGCUUGAUAAGCCGGUUGUGAAAGCCCCGGGCUCAACCUGGGAAUGGCAUCCGGAACUGUCAGGCUAGAGUGCAGGAGAGGAAGGUAGAAUUCCCGGUGUAGCGGUGAAAUGCGU
rnacentral:rRNA from 1 species